rnacentral:lncRNA from 1 species
CUUUGUUUGUAUGUGAUGCUGAGGAUCGAACCCGGGCCACAUGCAUGCCAGGCGAGCGCGCUACUGCUUAAGCCACAACCCCAGCCCCUCGAUAUAACUUUUUGGAGGACAUAAUUCAGUGCGUAGCAGGUGAGGCUGUCCCUCACUUGGAUCUCAAGGGACUGACUGCCUUUUCAUGCCAUCUACCAAAGCCACAAGACCAACCCUUACUUGUGGUUCCGCCAUCACCAUCUUGUAUGGCUGUAAGACACCUGGGCUCCUGCCUGCCUCAUGGUGGUUCUGAGAAUCAGAUGAGAAAGAAAAUGAAAAUGACUUGAAACUUGUGCAGGAAAAGUACCACCAGCAGCACUGGAUCUGAUCUGGGCCUGGUGCGUGCUAGGCACGUGCCGGGCCGCCGAGCCCCACACCCAGCCCUCAAAUAUUUAUUUGUUCAUGUGCUCCAUUUACUCUUCUGUAAAAUGGACUUAUUAAUAAUAGUGCCUGGCGAGGAUGAAUUGAGUAAAUCACACAGGUCAGCUUGGCUUGUAGCAGGUCAUUAAUUAAUAACUCUUCAUUUUGUUUUUCUCACUCUCGCCAUCUUGGUAGAUGGGACGGUACGCCCCUUAGGACUGGGCUGUGUUUUGGAAUCUCCUUCAGGCACAGGUGCAACCUUAGAGUAACUGCUCCACAGACAACUUGCCAGGUGGAUUGGGAGUUCCGUUCCCAUUGCUGGGUGCACUACGUAGACUCUAUUUUCUCCCUAUUACUAAGACAUUGAAAUUCCCGCUGAUCUCUCGUUAGUCUGGAAGUUCUUAAAUGGAUAAAAAUAAGCUCUCUGACAGCAACGUUGAUUUUGACUCUAAACCUAAAUUAGUGUGAUAAGUGAAUUGUUAUGGGAAUGCAGAUGUCGCCAUUCAGAAGGGGUCCAGAUUCAUUUUCUCUUGAUGUCUUCUCUUCGGGACAGAACAUGGGCAUGUUUUGAAAUGGAACAUCCUGUAUUAGUUUAAUUGAGCAUAGUUUUGACAGUGUCAAGAUGUGUAUAAUGUCCUCCUAAUAACCCUUUGAAGGUGUAUGUGAGGACAGAAUUGUUUUAUGAAUGGGGGGAGCAGGAAAUUUCUGGUCCUGCUUUCUGUCCCACCAUCCUGUGCAUGUAAAUGAGAGAGGAUACAGGAGAAGAAUCAGAGGAACCCCACAGAUGACAAAAGUAAAUCUUAGCAUGUUGCCUAAAAUACUUGGUACAAUCUACUCACACCCAUCCAAAAAUGUGCACAUUAUGCAGUUUGAUCGUAGUACAAUUUUUGAAUUCCUUUUGACUCCCCUUUGGGUGAUUCUUACUAUAUACUUUCCUACCACAUGUUAAGUCUGCCCAUCCCUGUUUUGACAUGAAUAUAAAGAUAGAGAUCCCAUUGGGGGCUAAUAGGAGUACAGGUUGAGUUUCCUCUAUCUGAAAUGCCUCUUCUGGGACCCAAAGUGUUUCUUGAUUUCAGAUUUUUUUUUUUUCAGAUUCUAGAAUUUUUGCAACUCCAUAGUGAAAUGAGAUCUCCUGGGGAUGGGACCUAGUCUAAGCAUGAAAUUCCUUUGUUUCAUAUGCACCUUAUGCACAUAGCUUGAAGGUAGGGUUACAUAAUAUCCUUAGUGUACCUGUGUUCGGACUACCACACGUGGAGGUCAUGUGGGGAAUUUUCUACUGUUGGCAUCGUGUUGGUGCUCAGACAGUUUCAGAUUUGGGGACAUUUUGGAUUUUGAGAUAAGGGAUGUCUGACCUCUGUAUUUCUUUUUUUCUCCAUCUGAAAAUACUGAAUGGCACUGAUGCUCAAAAUCUGUUGAUAAUUGUCUCUCUUCUUUGGACAUAUGAUUUAGGUAAUUUCACCAAGAAUUCAUGAUGUGCAGCAAAAUUAGUGCUGUCUAUUUAAGAGUAGUUUUCUCCUGAGAAGUUAAACGGAAAAAUGUUAAACUCCUGCUUCCUGAUUACAGGUUGAGGAAGGGAAGCAGCUAUAAUCCCAGGAGGGCCCAGGGGGCAAAAGAGGGUCUUGUUAUUUUGACGUGAUGACAUUGGAGUCCCUUCCCCCCCCCACACACACACACCUUCUUUCAGGAUCUCACACCAACCUAAAGUUAAAGCCAGUGCCACCGUCUUUAUAAUGGACACUGUUGCUCCCAAUGUUGCCGUUCAGUUACGCACAUCUUCAGUGGUUUGGGAAGCCCCUCCCUCUCCUCCCUCAUUUUUCCCUUGCCCGUGUGGCUAGGCAUUGCCUUUGAAGGUACAGAAAGCGACAUCUGCAUUCCCAUGACCAUCAGGGUUACCCGAGAUCACUGGGAAGCCUCACCCCAUUUUCUUGGAAGUCGCGUGGCCACGCAUCUCCCCUCCUUCUUCCUCUCUGUGUCCACCUUCUCCUCAAGCCCAGGUGGCCAUCUGCUCUACCGGUCAUUUCAGCUGAGGCCAAGUCUGCUGUACACCUGAGGGGCGGCACUUCUGAUUUUCAAGUGGAAGACCCCCAGAUGGCCCUCCUGUCAUGUAGCACAGCACCCUCCAGUGGGUCCAGGCACAGAGACCUCCUCUGUUGGAACUUUCUGCACUGAGCCUACGUCUAGGGACAUAAAACAGGGAUAAGAGAUGGAGACCUGGUUUCUAAUCUCACUUCUGUGAUUGGAAGAUUUCUCGAGAAAGUCCAUUCCCUCCUCAGAGAGCCAAAUGGAUUUACGUAAAGUGCUUAUCCCAGCUGCUGACCCUGCAGUCCAUGUUCAGUAAGUGGGAGCUUGUUUUCUUUGACUUUUGCAUAUGCUCAGGGGUAGCCAAAAAUGAAUCACUGGAGAGCAGGUGGUAUCUGCUGGGCAAUGGUGAUUUUUAACCCAUGAACAAUAGGCCAUUAUGAAGUCAUACCACUCUGACUUGUAAACGGGCUCUGGAAGGCCUGUGCCCCCGUUCCCCUGUCCUGUCUCUUCACCCCCAUGCUCCGCCACCUGGUAAUAACAGGUUGAGGCGUCGGUGAUGUGCAGAGUCUGAUGCUUGUUUUUAGGCUUUGGCCCAAACUAUACGAUGAGACCAAAGUUUUAGUAUCCCUUAUUUUCUUAUUCUACAGUGGAAACCAGCCAGAUAGAUAGAAAAUAUAAAUUCAUCAUUGGAGAAAAAGAUAAUACUUCUUUCUCAUUUGUUUUCUGCAAUCUAAGAGGCAUUUUCAAUGUAACAAAGCACACAGAUACAUCAUUAGAUUAAAAGGUAAACAAUGAAAAUUCUAAUUCUGGCUACAGAUUGACAAAGGAAUCUUUGUUCAAACAGGCCAACCCAUGAAACUCUGGCCCUCUUGAGUACAAGAUGAGAAUAAUGUUUUAUGUGUCCUUACUAAUUAGAUUAAUGAGUUAGAUAAUAUAUGAACGGGCUCGGAAACUAUGAAAUACAAAACAAAAGACCAGUGUGGAUGUUACUUGCUGGAGAGACUGCCUCUAUUAAAGAACAGGAAGUAGACCCUCACCUGAGGUCCGAACAUGCAGUUGACACAAAAGGCAAUUAAAAACGUCUCGUACACAUACAAAAAGCUGAUUUUUCUUAUUGCUAAUAAGAGAAUUUUUUUUUUUAAAAGCCAAGAGAUCUUUUCUACCUGUCAGAUUGGCGAAGUUCAAAACAGUUGAUAAUACUGUGUUGACUCAGGCAAGAAGCAACAAGGGCCUAUCUUGCUGAGGGAGUUUAAAUGGAUACAGUUGCUACAAAGAACAAAUGGAUAAAAACAGAAAGUGCUCAUGUCUUUGGCCAAACAGUUCCAUUUCUUGUGACGUUUAUCCUACAGAUGUACUUGCAUCUGUAUAAUACAAGGCAGAUCUGUAAGUGUCGACAUGGAGUGAUGUCCCCAGGACAUUGAGAAAUGCAGAUGGCACAUGAGUUUACAGAACACAUUUUCAUUUUUAUUUUAUUUUUUUAAAGAUAGGGCAUAAAUGCCAGAAAUGCUUAGCUGAUCUCUGAUCUUUCUUUCAUUUUGUAUUGUUAGUUUUGUUUUGGUGUAUGGGUGUGUGUACUCGGGGGGUCGGGGGUGCUAGAUUUGUGGUUUCUUAUCUGUUCAGUUGUUUUUGGUGCUGAGGAGUGAACAGGGUGGCUGGCGACUUGGGUGGGAGGCAUACUUACUUAUCACUUUAUAUCCUUUUGGACUUUUUGAAUUUUGUAACUUAU